AAAUAAUUUUGUCUUUUCCGUAAUAACAAAGUGCAAUCUAGAUAAGUACAAACAAUUAUCAAUAAUCCAAUAAUUGUUUUAUUCUUUUCUUGUUUGCACCAAGAAAUUGCAGCCAGUCAAAUUGGAAGAAUAUUUUCAUCGUUGAGGCUUUGAUAAUGUCGAGUUAAGCAACCAAGAAGGUAUCUCAGGCAAAUCACUGAAACUCUCGACAAAGGUAGAGCCUGAUCAAGCAGCAUAUAUGUAUGGCUACAAAUAAGCAUGAGAAAGGGCAUUCUAUGUCCUCAGCUGAAGCAAUUGAAGCUAGUGAUGACCUUCUAAUGAAACUACUAUUAUGCCUCCCACCAAAACCACUUUUCAUGUUCAAAUUAGUAUCCAAAAGGUGGAUAUCCACCAUUUUAGUCCUUAUUUCUCUUCCCUUUGGAAGCCUAGGCCUACCUCUGGUCUCUUUGUGAGCUUAUCUUCAACAUCAAAUAUACUUAUAUAUCCCUUAUACAACCUAAACAAAAUCCAGUGGUACCUCUUCAAUGCCUUGAUUUUAUUAAAGAUUCUUGUGGAGUUGAAAUUUUACAAUCUUGUGGUGGUUUAUUAUUUCUUUGUCGAUCGCGUGCAAGUGAAUCUAGUUUACAAUACUAUGUAUACAAUCCAACAACAAAACAUUUCUCAACAUUCCCAUAUCCAAAUCUACUCGACAAAUAUCCAAGAAUUUCAUGCUUGAAUUUGGCAUUUGAUCUAUCUAAGUCACCAUAUUGCCAAGUUAUCCACAUCUAUGGUGAGUACAGAUUAAACAUUGUAUUCCAUAUUGAAACAUACACCUUUGAGACCAACACCUGGAGAUACUUUGGAGGUCCAUUCGUCGGUCCAGUUGGCACGAGCUUUUCUAAGGGUGUUUUCUUGAAUGGUACACUUCACUGGCCUACAGACUACUCAGAAACUUCAGUAUGUUAUGAUGUUUAUGAGAAGCGUAUCAGAAAAUUUCCAAUGCCUCCACUUCAGAAUGCAUAUGGUCGAAACUUGAACUAUUUCGGGGAAGUUGAAGGGAAGUUGCAUGCUAUUGAUUAUACAGAGUGUAAUGCAUCAAAUUUGAUGUCUUUGUGAUGGAAAAUGACUACUCUUGCUGGUUCAACAAGUACCAUAUUGAUCUUGACACAGUGGCUAAAUCAUUUCCUGAAAUGGUGGUCUAUAAGCCCGAUCCAUGGACAGAUAAUACAACAACUUUUCUCAGAUACAAAGUACAUUCAAUCGUUGAAACAGAAACGCCAGAUAGUCCAUCUUUGGUGCUUUAUAUACAUGAUGAUAAGUUCAUAUCCCUGAAUUUGACAGAUAAUACGUUGUUGAAGCUGUCUGAUUUAAGUAGACGAUCGUCUGAUCAGCAGAAAUCAUAUUUUAGGAAGUCUCGAGCCUUCCAGUAUGUUGAAAAUCCAUUUUGGAUAUAAGCAGAGACAGAUCUAGGUAUGGUUCUGUGAGUUCAACUUAUCUCAUUUGCUUUCUGCUCGAACUAUGUGUGAUUAGAAGCUGUAAAACUGUACUCACAGUUUCUUAUAUUAAUGUAUUUAAAAUGGAAAAUUAUGCAACUAGAUCAAUCUUCUGAAACAA